CAGCGCAACAACAUAUGCGCGCCGCAGGCACGAACGAUAGAGAUCUCUUGUUGCGAAGGCUUUUCCUCGAUGCAUGACCCGGCACAGGACCGCGCAUCACCUGACACCGGCUGACGUGCCGCCCACUCCUAUCCGACAAUGUGCGGGAGACUAAUCUGUGGAGCCCUCUUGGUGCUGUUCAUCGCGCUCACGAUAUCCAGGGGUUGCCUGCAAAAUAGGAGGUUUUACAACUUUUGCCACAAGAGAGAGAUGAGGUGCGUGAACCACACAGACUGCUGCGAAGGCCGGUGCAGACCUUCGCCCAUUCCACCGUACAAGAUGAAGUGUUUUUGAUGCCAAUCUGGCGCAUGGCGCGGAACGACUUCGUCGAUUGUCGUCACACGAAAUAAAGAUAUCUAUUCAAGUUGGACGCCCGUCUGCUUUGCCAAGUUUGUCAGGAAGGCGGGGCCGGUUAAGUUACAUCUCAAAGCUGCUCCCCUCUUCAUAUUGAGCACAUAGGUGUACUGGUUCGAGAGAAAUAAAGAAAAAUGAAAUAAACUCAACAUGUAGCCAGACACAUGUAAGCUACUCCAUUCUCUUCCGCCUUUCUAUAUAUAACAACGACUACAGAAAGGGCCAAAAAUCAUCGAGUGAGAGAGUACAGAAUAACUUCGGCGAGCUAUUCGGAUGAGACACGUUCAUCACCAAGCCUCGCAAGACCUUGCUGCCGACCUGCUGGCCGUCAGUGUCUCUUACAAGAGGAUGGACCAUGUAAAAUGCCCAGAUAGAUCGAGCGUGGCAUUGUGGAGGCGGCUGGAGCUGGUGAUAACAACUUCCUUGAUGAAGCUGCGGGACCUUGGCAGCGCAUAGGUUUCCAGUCUCUAAGAUGGCACUCGGAUGCCCAUUCUCGUGCCCUCACAAAGACAGUUCCCCUUGCAGGAAUGAUAUAAAAAAAAAAGAAAAAAAAAAGAAGGGAUCGUUGAGUGAAUAAACGAAAACCAAUAAUGCAGCAGACAGUAGAGAGGUUCGGCAUUGGGCUCCAGUGACGUUCAUCGAAUACCGAACGCGGGGAAGACAGGAAACGGACCCGUAGAAGCAUUUCCUUGUGCGGAGACAUCGCCACUUAUAAAUAUUACGCGUAUUACAAAUACACAUAUAAAUUUCAUUAAUUUAUGGUGUUCUACGUGCCAAAACCACUUUCUGGUUAUGAGGCACGCCGUAGUGGAGGACUCCGGAAAUUUGGAACACGUGGGGUUCUUUAACGUGUACCUAAAUAUAAGUACACGGGUGUUUGCGCAUUUCGCCCCCAUCAAAAUGCGGCCACCGUGGCCGGGAUUCUAUCCCGCGA